rnacentral:rRNA from 1 species
AUACGUAGGGGGCGAGCGUUGUCCGGAAUGAUUGGGCGUAAAGGGCGCGUAGGCGGCGCGGUAAGUCUGGAGUGAAAGUCCUGCUUUCAAGGUGGGAAUUGCUUUGGAUACUGAUGGGCUUGAGUGCAGGAGAGGUUAUCGGAAUUCCCGGUGUAGCGGUGAAAUGCGUAGAGAUCGGGAGGAACACCAGUGGCGAAGGCGGGUAACUGGACUGCAACUGACGCUGAGGCGCGAAAGUGUGGGGAGCAAACAGGAUUAGAUACCCUGGUAGUCCACACUGUAAACGAUCAAUGCUAGGUGUAAGAGGUAUCGACCCCUUUUGUGCCGGAGUUAACACAAUAAGCAUUCCGCCUGGGGAGUACGGCCGCAAGGUUGAAACUCAAAGGAAUUGACGGGG